GCUGUAGCUCAGUGGUAGAGUGCUUGCCUAGCAUGUGUGAGGCACUGGGUUUGAUCCUCAGCACCGCA
rnacentral:tRNA from 1 species